GCAUUGGAUAGAGCAUUGCACCUGGAGUCAAGAAGACCUGAGAUCAAAUCCAGACUCAGACAUUUACUACCUGUCUGAUCCUAAGCAAGUCACUGAAAUUCUGCCUCAGUUUCCUCAACUAUAAAAUGAAGAUAAUAAUGGCAUCAACUUCUUGGGGUUGAUGUGAAGAUCAAAUGAGAUAGUAUUUAUAAAGCAUUUGGCACUUAAAAAAUUCCUGUUCUCCCCUCUCUCUGACCCUGAGCUCCUUGAAGAUUGGGGCUUUGUUUUCAUCUUUCUUUAUAACAUCAGCACUAACACAAUGCCUCACAUUUAGUAAUCAAUUACUAAAUGUUUGUUGACUAACUUCUUUCAUGGUUGGUUUUUUAAACCCCUUACCUCCUGCCUUGAAAUUGAUGCUAAAUGAGCAAUAAGGGCUCAGCAAUAGGGUUUAAGUGACUUGCCCAAGGUCACAGCUAGGAAGUGUCUGAGGUCACAUUUGAAGCCAGGACCUUCUAUCCCCCCUCUUUAUCCACUUUAGCCACCUAGGUGUCCUUCCUUUCAUAGUUCUUUCUGAGUUGUUCCCUCUCUCUUAAGGUACAUCAAAGUUACCUUGAUGCUACCAUAUCAAGGGGGUUAAAGGACAGUAGGUGGAAGAAGCACUUUUAAUAUUAAUGUUUAUAAAUGUGUAUAAUGUCAAAAAUUCCAUAAUUUGUGCCAAUAAUAAAAUCUCCAUAAUGUGUGUGUGUGUGUGUGUGUGAAAGGGGACUCUCUAACCAAUAACUUCAUAUUUGGUUUGACAAGUGUUUUAACAGGGCUAUCUUCUUAUUGUGGUAGCACAAGUCUCAAAUGACUAUGAAAUUAUUAACUAUCCCAGGUUCGUUGUGGGUGAUUUAGGACCUAAAGAUUACCUAUCUUUGGGCAGCUAGGUGACUCAUUGAAUUGUGAGACAAGUCUAGAGAGGGGCAGUCCUGGGUUCAACUAUGAACUCUGACUCUUAAUAGCUGUGUCACUCUGGGCAAGUCACUUAACCUCCAUUGCAUAGCCUUUUACCAUUCUUCUGCCUUAGAUUCAAUAUGUACUAUUGAUUCUAAGAUAGAAUGCAAAGUUUUUGUUUCCUUGUGUUUUAAAUAAAAAGGAAUAAAGUUUAGGUAAAGAGUUAAUG
rnacentral:lncRNA from 1 species